ensembl:snoRNA
ACUGCCCCGAUGGCAUUGCAGGUGUGGCUGCUGUGUCACCUGUGCAUCACUAGGUGGCAGAGUGGAGAGACGACAGGGACAGGACUAAGCUCAGUGUUCUGACCUGUGAACAUCUCAGUGAUUAAUAGUGUAACACA